rnacentral:rRNA from 1 species
CAGAGGGUGCAAACGUUGUUCGGAAUCACUGGGCGUAAAGCGCGUGUAGGUGGCAGGGUGUGUCGGAUGUGAAAUCCCAUGGCUCAACCAUGGAAGUGCACCCGAAACUACCCAGCUUGAGUCUCGGAGAGGAAGGUGGAAUGCUUGGUGUAGAGGUGAAAUUCGUAGAUAUCAAGCGGAACACCGGUGGCGAAGGCGGCCUUCUGGACGAUGACUGACGCUGAGACGCGAAAGCGUGGGGAGCAAACAGGGUUAGAUACCCUGGUAGUCCACGCCCUAAACGAUGGAUACUCGACAUCAGCGAUACACUGUUGGUGUCUGAGCGAAAGCAUUAAGUAUCCCACCUGGGAAGUACGACCGCAAGGUUG